rnacentral:rRNA from 1 species
GACGAACGCUGGCGGCGUGCUUAACACAUGCAAGUCGAACGGAAAGGCCUGCUUUCCCUUGUGGAUUGCGGGUACUCGAGUGGCGAACGGGUGAGUAACACGUGAGUGAUCUGCCCCCAACUUGGGUAUAAGCCUGGGAAACUGGGUCUAAUUCCCGAUAGGACUGCAGGGUGGUGGCUGUGGUGGAAAACGAUUUUCUAGUGGUUGGGGAUGAGCCCGCGGGCUAUCAGCUUGUUGGUGGGGUAAUGGCCUACCAAGGCGGCGACGGGUAGCCGGCCUGAGAGGGUGGACGGCCACAUUGGGACUGAGAUACGGCCCAGACUCCUACGGGAGGCAGCAGUGGGGAAUAUUGCACAAUGGGCGGAAGCCUGAUGCAGCGACGCCGCGUGGGGGAUGACGGCCUUCGGGUUGUAAACUCCUUUCGACCGCGAGGAAGCCACCUGGUUGGAAGGGUGGUGACGGUAGUGGUAGAAGAAGCACCGGCUAACUACGUG